UACGAAGGGUGCAAACGUUGCUCGGAAUUAUUGGGCGUAAAGCGCACGUAGGCGGCUUGGCAAGUCGGAUGUGAAAUCCCUCGGCUCAACCAAGGAAGUGCAUCCGAAACUGCUGAGCUUGAGUACUUAAGAGGAUCGCGGAAUUCCCGGUGUAGAGGUGAAAUUCGUAGAUAUCGGGAGGAACACCAGUGGCGAAGGCGGCUUCCUGGCCUGUUCUUGACGCUGAGGCGCGAAAGCUAGGGGAGCAAACGGG
rnacentral:rRNA from 1 species